rnacentral:rRNA from 1 species
CCGACCCGUCACAUCCACGAAAGUGGGCUGUACUAGAAGUCGCCGCGCCAACCGCAAGGAGGCAAGCGCCCAAGGUAUGGCUCAGUGAGUUGGGGUG